rnacentral:tRNA from 1 species
GGCUCCAUAGUGUAGUGGUUAGCAUGUCUGUUUUACACGAGCAGAAGGUCCUGGGUUCGCACCCCAGUUGGAGCCA